GACGAACGCUGGCGGCGUGCUUAACACAUGCAAGUCGAACGACGAAGCCCAGCUUGCUGGGUGGAUUAGUGGCGAACGGGUGAGUAACACGUGGGCAACCUGCCCCAAACUCUGGGAUAACUCCUCGAAAGAGGUGCUAAUACCGGAUACGAACUAGACAGACAUCUGUACUAGUUGGAAAGUUUUUCGGUUUGGGAUGGGCCCGCGGCCUAUCAGCUUGUUGGUGAGGUAACGGCUCACCAAGGCUACGACGGGUAACCGGCCUGAGAGGGCGAACGGUCACACUGGGACUGAGACACGGCCCAGAAUCCGACGGGAGGCAGCAGUGGGGAAUAUUGCGCAAUGGGCGAAAGCCUGACGCAGCGACGCCGCGUGAGGGAUGAAGGUCUUCGGAUCGUAAACCUCUUUCAGUAGGGACGAAGCGAAAGUGACGGUACCUAAAGAAGAAGCACCGGCUAACUACGUGCCAGCCGCCGCCGUAA
rnacentral:rRNA from 1 species